GGCGGCAGGAGGCAGGUCCAGGGCCCCGUUGGGACAGAGGGCGGGGGCCUUGCCGUGGGCGGCCUCGGCAAGCAGGAGGGCGGGCGGCGGAGGCAUCAUGGACAGAGCUGAAGGCAGUGCCAGCAAGAGGCUUAGAGGUCUUCAGACCGCCGCCGCCACCACCACCAACUGCCACCACCACCAACCGCCACCACCACCAAUGACCACCACCACCACCACCACCAACGCCACCACCACGGCCACCACCAGGCUGCCGGCGCCCAGAAAGCUUACGGGCUUUGUCUGUUAAGAACCACACCAAAUCAAGAGAGAAGAAAGGCUUCCCCAAGUACACAUGCUGAGGGCGAAUGGAAAGGUCCCAAGCAGCUACGACCCAGUGCAUGACCAUCUAUGAGUGACAAGGGCCCUGAGCACAGGAAACACUCCAGUGAGAGAUACCGGCACUAAUUCCCAUUUCAACUCCCAGGAGGAACAGAGCCUCGUGCUACCAGCCAAGGCCACUGAGACCCAAAGGGCGGCGGCUGGGGGCAGUGAUGAAGACGUGGGGGUGAAGCCCAGUGGUCUGUGUUUUCCGUACCCCCUCUUCUCUGCACAGGGAAGAGCAGACUAGCAAGCACAGGUUGACAGGUAUGGGAAACCGUGAGAACAAGCAGAAGACGGCAUCUGCUCGGGACCCACAGGUUCCCACCCAUGUCUGUGGCUUCUUGAUGGCAGAUUAGUUUUGAGAGUCAACAUAUUUGAUUUAACUCUGAGUACCCCUAAUACCGUGUGGGCACACUUGCAACCAGCACUAACUGAACUGAUCUCAACCCACGGACAGAGAGAGCGUGUUCACCACAGAUGUCCACAGGAGAGCUAGGUCAGGAGUGUGCGCGGGAGAAAGACCCCGCCACGGCUCCACGCCACUGACCAGAUAUGGGAGGAGAAGCCCACUGCUGAUGUCAAGGCAAGCUUUGCCUUCACCACCCUAGAGAGUAAAUGGUUAAGAAUCACUUUAUAACACCAAAUGCCUUGGAAUAAAAGUAUCAGGUGGAAAUAAGAGACAUGUCAUCCACUGAGAGGAGAGCCAGCCAGAAGGAUGCUGGACAAAAUGCAGAACAAGAAAUAACAGGGAGAGGAGAGCAAGGCCAGGAGAGGACAGCAAUCCUGGGUGUCACGACUGCUGUGAUUAGUGAAAGCAACAAUCCCACCGUGUCUCCUAAAACCCCAGGGAGGGAAUUAGGCAAAUCCUGCAGUCAACACAGAGCCCUAGAAGACACCUCACGUGGCAUAGACCCUUUCCCGACCCUCCAGGGGACCCGAGGCAUUUCCCGCGCCCCACCAGAGGAAGACUACCACCGGCUGCUCGCAGGGUCCUCCCACCGUGACCCUCAGGAGGAACUAGAUUUCCAACUUGUCCUGCACCACAGCGCAGGGCAAUUGGUCCUUUUCUCCCUCGUAAGGGCCAAGGCCCUGCCGGAAGGCCUGGGAGGAAUUAAACUCGCUCCACCUCUACCCAAGGCCUUCCCUGUCAGGCUCCAUGAACCCUUGCUGAGAAGCACAGAAGUCCCCUGAGGCACAUCCCAGAGCCAGGUCUUUACGAAGACCUGGGCAAGAAGGUGUGCACAGCCCCAGGUCAACCCCAUGGUUCCGAGCUGGAACAACAGAACACGGCCCUCCUCCCUCCUCCUUGAAGAACUCUGGCCUGCUGAUGGAGCCGUACUGGAAGCC